GUGGGGAAUAUUGGGCAAUGGAGGCAACUCUGACCCAGCCAUGCCGCGUGCAGGAUGACGGCCCUCUGGGUUGUAAACUGCUUUUAUACGGGAAGAAAAAAUACUACGUGUAGUAUACUGACGGUACCGUAAGAAUAAGGAUCGGCUAACUCCGUGCCAGCAGCCGCGGUAAUACGGAGGAUCCAAGCGUUGUCCGGAUUUAUUGGGUUUAAAGGGUGCGUAGGCGGAUCUUUAAGUCAGUGGUGAAAGCCUGCAGCUUAACUGUAGAAUUGCCAUUGAAACUGAAGAUCUUGAAUGUGGUUAAAGUAGGCGGAAUGUAUCAUGUAGCGGUGAAAUGCUUAGAUAUGAUACAGAACACCGAUAGCGAAGGCAGCUUGCUGAACCAUUAUUGACGCUGAGGCACGAAAGCGUGGGGAGCGAACAGGAUUAGAAACCUGUGUAGUCC
rnacentral:rRNA from 1 species